GAUUAUCUUCUGAAAGGUCAAAGUUUGCUAUGCAUGUUAACUAAGGAAACAAACAAGAAUCAAUUUCUAAAUCUAAAGAUGUUGUUUCCAUCACUAAGUUUUCAAAAGCUUACACUGGAUUUGUUCUUGGCAAAUAAAACUGAAGUAUUUUUCUGUAUUUGCUAAAUCUUGUAAAAGUGUUUCAAAUGAAAAAGGUUUCCAAACUGUGAAGAUAAAG
rnacentral:lncRNA from 1 species